UACGGAGGGUGCAAGCGUUGCUCGGAAUCACUGGGCGUAAAGCGUCCGCAGGCGGCUUGAUAAGUCGGGUGUGAAAGCCCGGGGCUCAACCCCGGAACUGCAUUCGAAACUGUCUGGCUUGAGUACGGGAGAGGGAAGCGGAAUUCUGGGUGUAGAGGUGAAAUUCGUAGAUAUCCAGAGGAACACCAGCGGCGAAGGCGGCUUCCUGGCCCGAUACUGACGCUCAUGGACGAAAGCGUGGGGAGCAAACAGG
rnacentral:misc_RNA from 1 species